rnacentral:rRNA from 1 species
GAUGAACGCUAGCGGCAGGCUUAACACAUGCAAGUCGAGGGGUAACAUUGGAGCUUGCUUCAGAUGACGACCGGCGCACGGGUGCGUAACGCGUAUAGAAUCUACCUAUUACUGAGGGAUAGCCCAGAGAAAUUUGGAUUAAUACCUCAUGGUAUUAUUGACUGGCAUCGGUUAAUAAUUAAAGAUUUAUUGGUAAUAGAUGACUAUGCGUCUUAUUAGCUAGUUGGUAAGGUAACGGCUUACCAAGGCAUCGAUAAGUAGGGGUCCUGAGAGGGAGAUCCCCCACACUGGUACUGAGACACGGACCAGACUCCUACGGGAGGCAGCAGUGAGGAAUAUUGGACAAUGGAGGCAACUCUGAUCCAGCCAUGCCGCGUGCAGGAAGACUGCCCUAUGGGUUGUAAACUGCUUUUAUAUAGGAAGAAACAUUGCUACGAGUAGUGAUUUGACGGUACUAUAAGAAUAAGGAUCGGCUAACUCCG